CACUGGUGUCUCGCCACCCCCCUCGUCCAAACCAAAAAUUCCCAUCAUCUUAAAUGCUCUACCACCAGCCGGCUUUUUGCUCGGUGGACACGUCCUAUUCGGUAACUUAAAAGUUUACCUUACAGAGCAGGGGAGGUUGAGACCCACCAUGUCCAUCUCCUGACAUUCCAUCUGCUCCCCAACCCUGUUGGCAAGGACACGCUCCCCGCUAGCUGUGACGGAACAAAAACAGAAAAUUAGGGUGGUU